CGCAAGCCUGAUGCAGCAACGCCGCGUGCGCGAUGAAGGCCUUCGGGUCGUAAAGCGCUUUUCUGGGAGACGAGCAAGGACGGUAUCCCAGGAAGAAGGCUCGGCUAACUACGUGCCAGCAGGCCGCGGUAAAAACGUAGGAGCCAAGCGUUAUCCGAAUUCACUGGGACGUAAAGCGCAAGUAGGCGGCCGAGUAAGUUGAUUGUGAAAGCUCCCGGCUCAACUGGGAGAGGCCGGUCAAAAACUACUCGGCUCGGAGGACGGUAGAGGAAGGCGGAAUUCCCGGUGUAGUGGUGAAAUGCGUAGAUAUCGGGAGGAACACCUGUGGCGAAGGCGGCUUUCUGGGCCGUACCUGACGCUGAGAUGCGAAAGCUAGGGGAGCGAACGGGAUUAGAAACCCCGGUAGUCCUAGCCGUAAACGAUGUCGACCAGGCGCUGGGGGGGUAAAAGCCCCCAGUGCCGCAGCCAACGCGCUAAGUCGACCGCCUGGGGACUACGGCCGCAAGGUUA
rnacentral:rRNA from 1 species